rnacentral:rRNA from 1 species
GACGAACGCUGGCGGCGUGCUUAACACAUGCAAGUCGAACGGAAAGGCCCUGCUUUUGUGGGGUGCUCGAGUGGCGAACGCGUGAGUAUCACGUGAGUAACCUGCCCUUGACUUUGGGAUAACUUCCGGAAACUGGGGCUCAUACCGGAUAGGAGCUCCUGCUGCAUGGUGGGGGUUGGUAAGUUUGGGCGGUUGGGGAUGGACUCGCGGGUUAUCAGCUUGUUGGUGGGGUAGUGGCUUACCAAGGCUUUGACGGGUAGCCGGCCUGCGAGGGUGAACAGCGACCAUGGGACUAAGAGAGGGCGCAGACUCCAACGGGAGGCAGUGGUGGGAAAUAUGACCCAGUGGGCGCGAGCGGGAGGCGGCAGCGCCCGGUGCGGAAUGACGGCUUGCGGGUUAAAAACCGCUUUCGGCUGAGACGAAGCGGGAGUGACGGUAAUGGGUAAAGAAGCACCGGCUAACUACGUG